AUCUCAGCCCUGGAGACUGAAGUCUUCUGCUUAUCCAUGGAACUGGUACCACACAGGCAGUGUCAGGGCAAGCUUCCCCAUACCAACCUGACAAUAGCUUCUAAGGGGUGGAGAACAAAGGCACUUCAGCCUCCAUGCUUAUUCAAUCAAUGUCCACU
ensembl:misc_RNA